UACAGAGGUCUCAAGCGUUGUUCGGAUUCAUUGGGCGUAAAGGGUGCGUAGGUGGCGCGCUAAGUCAGGUGUGAAAUUUCGGAGCUCAACUCCGAAACUGCAUUUGAUACUGGCGUGCUUGAGGACUGGAGAGGAGACUGGAAUUCACGGUGUAGCAGUGAAAUGCGUAGAUAUCGUGAGGAAGACCAGUGGCGAAGGCGGGUCUCUGGACAGUUCCUGACACUGAGGCACGAAGGCCAGGGGAGCAAACGGG
rnacentral:rRNA from 2 species